rnacentral:tRNA from 1 species
CCUGGUGGCUCAGAGGUUAAAGCGUCUGCCUGGAAUGCGGCAGACCUGGGUUAGAUCCCAGGGUCAGGA